AUUGAAAGGGACAGAUUUGACUGAUUGCAACCCUAAAAUAUAUGGCUAAGUACCAUAUAUGCUAAAAUGCUAAAGCAGUAGUU
rfam:Gramella sp. LPB0144, complete genome.